UGGGGAAUAUUGCACAAUGGGCGCAAGCCUGAUGCAGCCUUGCCGCGUGUGUGAAGAAGGCCUUCGGGUUGUAAAGCACUUUCAGCGGGGAGGAAGGCGAUAAGGUUAAUAACCUUGUCGAUUGACGUUACCCGCAGAAGAAGCACCGGCUAACUCCGUGCCAGCAGCCGCGGUAAUACGGAGGGUGCAAGCGUUAAUCGGAAUUACUGGGCGUAAAGCGCACGCAGGCGGUCUGUCAAGUCGGAUGUGAAAUCCCCGGGCUCAACCUGGGAACUGCAUUCGAAACUGGCAGGCUAGAGUCUUGGAGAGGGGGGUAGAAUUCCAGGUGUAGCGGUGAAAUGCGUAGAGAUCUGGAGGAAGACCGGUGGCGAAGGCGGCCCCCUGGACAAAGACUGACGCUCAGGUGCGAAAGCGUGGGGAGCAAACAGG
rnacentral:rRNA from 1 species